AUUUUAAAUAGGGUGAUUUUAAAAUGAUUUUCAGUUUAUCAAUUUAAAACUCAAGGAUGUAGAAUUAGCAAAGACAAGGUAUGAACUAGGGGAAAUUAAACUAUAUAAUUAACAAAAUGUUACUGUAUAGUUUAUCAGGAUUAGAUUUAAGUUUGAUGUUCCUAAUUGUGGACUAGGCAGUGAAUUUUAUUAAUGUUAGAAAGGUACUUUUUAUAGUCCAUUUGUAUCUAGUCAGUGUUUUCAUUCUAUGACUUUCCUGUGAACUUGAGGUAGAAAAAAACUCCUUGAUAACAUUUUUACCCUAAAUCUUUGCAUUUUUAAAGAUGAACUUUAAAAAUUAAUUUAUUCUUUUAACAACAUAAAUCAAAGUAGACUACUACACUAAUUAAUUCUUAGAUUUGUAGGUGAGUUGUAAAAAGUUUACCGUUGCAUUUGUAGGACUUGCUGUGAAAAGGAAUUAUGAGGAAACUUUUUCUUCAAAAUACUUUAGUGUAGUAUGAGAUGUCCCCUAUAUACAGGGCAUUCACGUGAUAAACUUAAAUAUCUGGAACAUAGCCAAGAAACAUGCAGAAAGUAAAAAAAAAAUAAUAA
rnacentral:lncRNA from 1 species